ACGGGAGGCAGCAGUGGGGAAUAUUGCACAAUGGGCGCAAGCCUGAUGCAGCGAUGCCGCGUGAGGGAAGAAGGUCUUCGGAUUGUAAACUUCUUUUAUCAGGGACGAAGGAAGUGACGGUACCUGAUGAAUAAGCCACGGCUAACUACGUGCCAGCAGCCGCGGUAAUACGUAGGUGGCAAGCGUUAUCCGGAUUUACUGGGUGUAAAGGGCGCGUAGGCGGGGAUGCAAGUCAGAUGUGAAAUCCAUGGGCUUAACUCAUGAACUGCAUUUGAAACUGUAUCUCUUGAGUGUCGGAGAGGUAGAUGGAAUUCCUAGUGUAGCGGUGAAAUGCGUAGAUAUUAGGAGGAACACCAGUGGCGAAGGCGAUCUACUGGACGAUAACUGACGCUGAGGCGCGAAAGCGUGGGGAGCAAACAGGAUUAGAUACCCUGGUA
rnacentral:rRNA from 1 species